rnacentral:misc_RNA from 1 species
AAAGUCGUAACAAGGUUUCCGUAGGUGAACCUGCGGAAGGAUCAUUGGGGAGAUGUGGGGGGAAGAGAGAGUUGGAAUGGGGGAGAGUAACAACAAAUAUUAAUACAAUACAAACACAAACACAACUGCUGACAAUGGAUCUCUGGGCUCUU